rnacentral:misc_RNA from 1 species
AUUUGCCUUAUCAAUUCUUCUGGAAAAAUUUUUGCAGCUUCGAGGUUGAACAGGCCUGAAAUCUGGGAAAUGCCUCAGGGUGGUGUAAAUGAAGGCGAAGAUCUCAAAACUGCAGCCAAGAGAGAACUUGUUGAAGAAACAGGAGUAGUUUCUGCAGAAAUUAUUGCAGAGCUACCCUACUGGCUUACUUACGAUUUCUCGCCCGAAGUCAGCACUAGACUCAG